UUUUAAUUUACAAAGGAUUUUGCUGUUAUAGUUCUCUCUUUAUUUUUUUGAUAUAUCAAAUUAGUUCUUAUAUUUGGUGCAGGCAUGGCUGUGUGGUUAAGAACCUUGAUUUUCAGUAAUGUGGUUUAGGGUUCAGUCCCACUGCGGUCCAUUCGAUUAACAGAUGAAAAAAAAAAAAUGUAUACUGAUCUGCAGUUCCUUUGAUCCAUUUGUCACUGCUUAGUCAAAGCCACUUUCCCAAUGAGUAUUGCUGCCAAAUUUGGUGAAAAUCUGCUCAGCCGUUUUCCAGGAAUUAUGCAAACACACAGACAAACAAAGAUGAGCAACUAUAUUACCCUACUUUCAUUUACACGUGCAAGGUGCAGGAGUGGCUGUGUGGUAAGUAGCUUGCUUACCAACCACAUGGUUCCGGCUUCAGUCCCACUGCAGAUGCCACAUGGAUAUUCUAUUUCAGAUAAUACAAAAAUAACCCAAUGAGUACAUCUGACAGUAAACUCAUGGUAUCAGUUUGAACAUCACGAAAUAUUACAUAAAGGAUAUAACGGAAAUUACCAGCAGGGUAUAUUAUAUAUGCUUCAUUAAUUAUAUCCUGCAUUAGUUAAUACUUAUAUUUAUUAAACAUGAAGGAACUACACGUGUUUCAGUAUUGGAAGAUUACAAUAUAUAUACAUAUGCACAACUGUAUACCUAUAUAUAUAGGUAUGGGAGAAUUCACGAAAAAACAACAUAUGAAGACAGGUGGUGUAAACAACAAAUGGAUGUAUUAGUAUAAUGCUCGGGAAUAGAGAAAGUCUUUAAUGUUUCGAGCCUAUGCUCUUCAACAGAAAGGAACACAGAAAGAAAUAAGGAGAGAAACUAGGAAAGAAAAAAGGGAGAGAAAAAAUAUGUGUAGUGGUCAGUGAUCUAUCAUAAAUACGUAUAUGCAAUCGUCAGAUUUACAAUUAUUCCAACACAUCUUCAGGUUCUAUUUCAAAAUAUUAUAUAUCUAAUUUUACAUCCCUUUAAAAAUAAGCAAUACAAUUAAGCAUUAAAGAUUAAAAAUUAAAAAUUAAGAAUAAAAAUUAUACUUUGUAAUAUUAAGAAUUAAAAUUUAUGAAUUAUUCAUUAUAAAUAUGAAUUAGUAUAUCAUCAUCAUCAUCAUCAUCCAUGUAAAAUCAAGUAUAUGUCAAAUACAGAAUGUGAGAUAUAAGAUUAAACAUCAGAAUAAAAAUGUCUGUGUUUAAAUGUGAUAUAUAACAAGAAAAUUCAAAUACAUAUCCUCCAUUUUUUUUACUGGAACUAAAAUGGUGAUUUGAGGAAGAAGAUAGCAGGGAACUAUGGGUAUUUAUAGGUGAUUAGUAGCAA